GCCUAAACAGUUUCCCACUCAGGUUCUCGCUGGUUUGUUGAAUAAACGGCAGUGCCGUAUUCCAUAGCGAUGUCGAAGUCAGUAUUAUUAUUUUGAUAGACUGAAACAUUGAUUUGUCAUCUACGGGCCCAUUUCCACUCAGGAAAAUUUUCCGCGCUUAGAAAACUUUGUGAAAUGUGACUGGAAAAAUGUAAAAUGUGUUUUUGAAAAAAAAUUUGGAAGUUGGAAAUUUUCAACUUUUAACAAUGACAUUUUCGGAAAAUUUUCUGUGCGUGGAAAUUUUUCUUGAGUGGAAAUUAAGGCGGUUUUCCACUAGGCGAAAUUUUUCGACCGAAACGAAUUUUCUUUUGUCUUACAAGCACUCAGAUGGAACUAAUCUUCUAUCUUUUGAAUUUGAAUAAUAGAAAUUUCGGUUCGAUCGAAAAAUUUCGCCUAGUGGAAGACUGCCCUAAAGGGACACAUAUUUACAAGCACGGUCUUGUUUCGUUAUAGCAUGGAUAAUUUAUUUUAUUAUCCAUGGUUAUAGAUAGGGAUAAAUUUUCCUCUUUUCGCCUGUCCAUCACGUGAUACCGCUUGUGAUAUACACGUAAAAAUCUCGCAACUUGUCAACAAGAUGUGUUCGCAACAGGCUUGCAGCAAGCUUGUCAACAAGUUGUAGCAAUGCUGUUAUUCUAUCACGUUGCUACAAGGUUGUCACUCAUAACUUGUCGACAAGUUGUUGAAUUGCAGGACGAUAACAAGUUGAUGGAACAACUUGUAACAAGUCUGUUGAGCUCAACAACCUUGUAGCAAGUUGUCAACAAGCUGGGAACAAGCAGUGCUAACACAUCCUGUUGAUAAGUUGUUGGAAU
rnacentral:lncRNA from 1 species